CGGAUCUGGUUCACAAAGAAAAUGGUACCAACCAGCUGUGGCAUCAGUGGCUGGACACGCAUUUCAGGGGCUGCAAAGAUGGUUGAAGUGGGGACUGAUGGAACCGUCUUUGUAGUGAAUCGAGGCGGCAACGUCUAUCAAAGAGCUGGCAUCACCAGUGGUCGUCCACAAGGCACAAGCUGGACCAAAAUCAAAAUGUGUUUGCCCAUCCACCAUCUGUCCUACGACCAGAGCCGUCUUUGGGUCGUGAGCAAAGGUGGCAUUGUCAUGCAGUGCACUCACUAAUGUGUCUGCUG